rnacentral:rRNA from 1 species
CAGCCGCCGCGGUAAUACGGGGGGAGCAAGCGUUGUCCGGAAUCACUGGGCGUAAAGAGCGCGUAGGCGUCCUAAUAAGUUUCUGGUGAAAUACUCCUGCUCAACGGGAGAAUUGCUGGAGAUACUGUUAGGAUUGAGUUUAGAAGAGGGAAGCGGAAUUCCUGGUGUAGCGGUGAAAUGCGUAGAUAUCAGGAAGAACACCGAUGGCGAAGGCAGCUUCCUAGUCUAACACUGACGCUGUGGCGCGAAAGCGUGGGGAGCAAACAGGAUUAGAUACCCUGGUAGUCCACGCCCUAAACGAUGGAUACUUGGCGUUGGGAGCUCGACCCUUCCAGUGCCGAAGUAAACGCGUUAAGUAUCCCGCCUGGGGACUACGGCCGCAAGGUUGAAACUCAAAGGAAUUGACGGGGGCCCGCACAAGCGGUGGAACAUGUGGUUUAAUUCGAUGCAACGCGAAGAACCUUACCUGGGCUUGACAUAUACUAGAAAGGUCUGGGAAACCAGAUCCCUUUCCGGGUUUACUCGGAAACUGGUAUACAGGAGGUGCAUGGCC